rnacentral:tRNA from 1 species
CUUCUUCUUUAAUCAUUUAAGGCUUUAUAGUCAAUAAUGAUAUUAGACUGCAAUUCUAAAGGAGUAUAUUUAUACUAAGGCUU